UUUCCGUAGGUGAACCUGCGGAAGGAUCAUUAUCGAGUUUUGACUGGGUUGUAGCUGGCCUUCCGAGGCAUGUGCACGCCCUGCUCAUCCACUCUACACCUGUGCACUUACUGUGGGUAUCGUAUCAGAUCGUGAAGCGUGCUCUUUCACCGGAGCUUGUGAAGCGUGUCUGUGCCUGCGUUUAUCACAAACACUAUAAAGUAUCAGAAUGUGUAUUACGAUGUAACGCAUCUAUAUACAACUUUCAGCAACGGAUCUCUUGGCUCUC
rnacentral:misc_RNA from 1 species